rnacentral:rRNA from 1 species
GGCGCACGGGUGAGUAACGCGUAGGUAAUCUACCCUUAUAUCUGGGAUAACAUUGGGAAACUGGUGCUAAUACCGGAUACACUUUUCUGCUGCGGGGCAGAAGAGGAAAGGUGGCCUCUUGGUCAAAGCUACCGUAUAGGGAUGAGCCUGCGUACCAUUAGCUGGUAGGUGGGGUAACGGCCCACCUAGGCCACGAUGGUUAGCGGGUCUGAGAGGAUGAUCCGCCACACUGGAACUGGAACACGGACCAGACUCCUACGGGAGGCAGCAGUGAGGAAUAUUGCGCAAUGGGGGAAACCCUGACGCAGCGACGCCGCGUGAGUGAGGAAGGUCUUCGGAUCGUAAAGCUCUGUCAGGAGGGAAGAAGUGUUAGGUGGUUAAUACCCAUUUAAUUUGACGGUACCUUCAGAGGAAGCACCGGCUAACUCCGUGCCAGCAGCCGCGGUAAUACGGAGGGUGCGAGCGUUGUUCGG